rnacentral:rRNA from 1 species
AGUGAACGCUGGCGGUAGGCCUAACACAUGCAAGUCGAACGGCAGCACAGUAAGAGCUUGCUCUUACGGGUGGCGAGUGGCGGACGGGUGAGGAAUACAUCGGAAUCUACUUUUUCGUGGGGGAUAACGUAGGGAAACUUACGCUAAUACCGCAUACGACCUACGGGUGGAAGCAGGGGAUCUUCGGACCUUGCGCGAUUGAAUGAGCCGAUGUCGGAUUAGCUAGUUGGCGGGGUAAAGGCCCACCAAGGCGACGAUCCGUAGCUGGUCUGAGAGGAUGAUCAGCCACACUGGAACUGAGACACGGUCCAGACUCCUACGGGAGGCAGCAGUGGGGAAUAUUGGAAAAUGGGCGCAAGCCUGAUCCAGCCAUACCGCGUGGGUGAAGAAGGCCUUCGGGUUGUAAAGCCCUUUUGUUGGGAAAGAAAAGCAGCAGGUUAAUACCCCGCUGUUCUGACGGUACCCAAAGAAUAAGCACCGGCUAACUUCGUG